rnacentral:lncRNA from 1 species
CUCUGCCUGCCUCUCUGCCUACUUGUGAUCUCUGUCAAAUAAAUAAAAUCUUAAAAAAAAAUAAAAUAUAAAUAUAUAUCUAUAUAUAUAUCUAUAUAUAUCUCGUAGUUAUUUUAAAUUCCUUGCCUGACGGUUCCAGAAUCUGUGCCAAGUCUGGCUCCGGUUCUGAUGCCUGCUCUCUCUCUCUCUCUCUCUCUCUCUCUCCAGACUUCCUGCCUUUGGGCAUGCCUUGUGAAGUUUUGUUGAAAGCCAGACUUGCUGCAUUGGGUAACAGGAAGUGAGGUAAGUAGGCCUCUGUGAUUUAUGGUAAUCUGGCUAGGGAGUGGAUAUGUUCAGUUUUUGCUGUGGUUUUAGGUACCAGAGACUUCAAAUUCCUUUAGGUCUGCUUUUGUCUCUCUCUUAACCUUGGGUUUCCCUCAUUACUUCUCAGAGUCUUACAGCAGUCAGCGGCAAUCACUAGGGCUCUACCAGAGCUCUGGGGUGUGGUGGUGAAGUAGGGGGAGUGUAUGCAUGUUCUUAGGCCCAGAUUAAAUCUCCCUGUCGUAGUGGGCCUGUGACCCUCCCCAGUGUGCCCGCAGUGGUAGAGCCUCGCCCCUCUGGCCCGCCCUCCCUUCUCUGACAGCACCAUUCCCAACCUGUUUCCUUGAAGUCUUGACAACCUGGUUGACUGGAUGUAUCCCCCCCUCCUUAGGUAAGAGAGGAAGGCUAGAGGGGCUGGUGGGCAGGGAGUGCCCUUCCCCCGACAGGGAUUCAGCUCUGGCAAAGUCUUUUGCCCUGGAGAGUAGGCCUUGGUGGUAAAGAAGGUUCUGGGUGUACCUCACAAUGAUUAUUCAUCUCCUCUCCCUGCCAGAGCCACAAGGAGAUCUUAAGCUUCACUGUGGUAUCUGGUGGGGUGCCUGCAGGUUAAAAGCCCAGGGACAUGGGCUUUGAGCCCUGCAGCCCCUCAAAACUGCAGGCUCCAGGAACUUCUCACUCUCGUGCUGGGCCACGCUCAACUUGCAGCAACCCAGUAUCGGCGUCUAAGUGUUCCUGCCAGUUUGUGGCUCAGCAGUGUCUGCUCCAGGCCCGGCACUGGCACACUUUAAUCAUCACAGCCAGCAUCCGCCGAGCAGCCCACCCACGUGCCCGGCAGCGCGCCAUGCUAUCUGUCCAUCCAGAUGUCACACUGUUAUCUGUGAAGGUCUACAGGCCAAUGGCCUCCUCUCUCCAGUGGCUGUUUAUCCUCACUCCCGCAACCGAACACUGA